rnacentral:misc_RNA from 1 species
GGGAAGAGAGGAUUAUUUACUAUUUUGAUUUAUCCUAAAUUCAUACUGAAUCUGUUGAGUUAUUGAAUAUGUCAGCAUCAUGCCAGAAUGCUAUGCUCUAAUCCUCGCAAUUUCUGUUACUUCCUCUUUGACUGCAAUAUAUAUAUAUACACUUUAGAGGUGAUCUAGUGAAGAUCAGCUUGGAAGUUUUGCCAUUUCAAUUCUUAUGGUCUUGAAAGCAAGAUUUCUGAUUGUCUGAUUUCCGUUGAUGCAAUUAUACAUGCCCAAGGGUACAUUUGCAGAAAGCAUUUGAAUGGCCAGUCAACUCAUGAACUUAAUCUUUCAGCAUUGGCUCGUGGCACUUGCAUUUUUGGCAAUGUGAACCCAAGUUGCAAUUGUUUUAUUUCUCCAUUGGGCAUGAUAAUGCCUAGGUGAAAAGAUGCCAUUGCUGGCUGCCUAAAGUAUUGCUGGAAGUACAAUCUUUAAGAAGAUCAUAUAUUAGUCUAGAAUAACAAGAGAAAUAUGAUGAGACUAGAUUGAAAUCACUGCUUAGUGUAAAUGCAACUUCCUUUUCAGAUUCUGCCUUUUUGGAAGGAGUAAUCCUUAAUGUUAUGUUUUUAAGAUUCUGACAUGUUGAUACUCGAUUGUAGAAUGAUAUGAACAAAAGUUCUUUCCUUGUUUGCCUGUUCACCCAUUUUCUCUCACUAUUUUUUCAUUAAUAAAUUGUUUAUGAUCUGUUCUGUACUGUCUAGCUUUUCU